rnacentral:lncRNA from 1 species
AACAAGGCCACUUCACCAUCCCUGCAGUGAUUCCUCAGUAAUUCACCACCAGAAGCACCAUCACCUUCCUUCUGUGUCCCUCCACAAAGCCAGUUGGGACUUCUAGAUAUUUUUGAAGGCAUAUUGAACUAGAUGGUGUUCUAGGGUACUAAUUUCAAGCUGUUGUUCUCCUAACCAUGCCACCAUAGCAGCAAUUUUAUUCUGAUGCAUAGAUUUGUAUAGAGAGGGUAAGAAAUUAUUCCAUGAAGUGAUCCCUUCUCAGAAUUUUAAAUAAGAAAUGGAAAAACUUUCUGUACUCUCAGAGUUUUCAUAAUUUCCCCUGGGGUAGGAGGGCAGGUGCAGAAGGGAACGGAACAAAGAUAAAGAAACAGCCACGUGGACGUGUGGUGGAAGAUCGUUUGAAGGAGGAGAAGAGCAAGUCAAAGGCCCUGAGGCAAGAGCACACUGGGCAUGUUCAAGCAGCAGGAAAUGGGCUCUGUCCAGGCCACUGGACUCCACUGAUGUGCUGAAUAAGUGGAACUCGUCUUUUUGAAAUGAAUG